rnacentral:rRNA from 1 species
AUUGAACGCUGGCGGCAUGCCUACACAUGCAAGUCGAACGGCAGCGGGGGAGAAGCUUGCUUUUCCUGCCGGCGAGUGGCGAACGGGUGAGUAAUACAUCGGAACGUGCCCUGUAGUGGGGGAUAACUAGUCGAAAGAUUAGCUAAUACCGCAUACGACCUGAGGGUGAAAGUGGGGGACCGCAAGGCCUCAUGCUAUAGGAGCGGCCGAUGUCUGAUUAGCUAGUUGGUGGGGUAAAGGCCUACCAAGGCGACGAUCAGUAGCUGGUCUGAGAGGACGAUCAGCCACACUGGGACUGAGACACGGCCCAGACUCCCACGGGAGGCAGCAGUGGGGAAUUUUGGACAAUGGGCGAAAGCCUGAUCCAGCAAUGCCGCGUGUGUGAAGAAGGCCUUCGGGUUGUAAAGCACUUUUGUCCGGAAAGAAAUGGCUCUGGUUAAUACCUGGGGUCGAUGACGGUACCGGAAGAAUAAGGACCGGCUAACUACGUGCCAGCAGCCGCGGUAA